UGUUGACAAGACAGAAACCAAACUACAGACUUUUGGAAGUUGGGACCAAUAAUAAGAAAUUAGCAAUCAAAUGUAAACCUUUUGGGAAUUGAAUAAAAACUUUGGUGAAAAUAGGUUUCAAAACAGCACACAAGGAGAAAGUUUUCUGCAUAAUGUCCAGUCCCACCAAAACCUAAAGACAGCAUUUAAUUCAGAUAUUUUUGGGGGGAAAAAUAGGGUAACUUCCAGUUCUGGAGAGCUGACAGAUCACAAGCUUUCACCUCUCUUUGAAAUCGAUAUCCCACUGAUGUGACUGAAGUAAAACACAACAGAGGCUAAAUUAAAGCUGAGUUAGAGAGGGCUUCACCAGCAAACCAAAACAAAGAAAGAUUUCUCAAAGAGAUUUCUCAAACGGAUGCAAUCAAACUGAUGACAAGUCCCCACAAAGAGAACCCAAAAUACAGGCAUUAAGAUUGGACUAAGACAAAGAACACCUGCAAGGAGAACCUGAGGGCAAGUCCUGCGGUCAAGGUUGAGAGAGAGGAAGACUCUGAAAUCAGAAUGCCUGAAUUCAUCGGAUCCAGGCUCCAACACCCUGCCUGCCUCAGUGUUCUCAAAUGAGGAAUGCAAAUGAGAAUAGUAUUUACCUGGAGACCUACUAUGAGGGUUACAUGAGAUCACGGAGAUAAAGCGUUUCACCGAAUGUCUGUCUUACAGGAAGUGCUGAAGCAUUCAGAAUGUAACAAAAAUGAAAAUACCAAAUUUCAAAACCUAAGGGAGGCAGUUAAAAAUAAACAGAAAAAUCUCAUAGUGUUUUUCUUUAAAUAAUAUAUUUUAUUUAUCCCAGCGGUUCUCAGCCAGGGGAGAGUUUUAAAUGCCUUUAUUGUUCAAGGACUGGAAUGCAUAAACUAAUUGCAGCAGAAUCUGUGGGUUCCCUGCCCAGAUCCUCAGGGACCCUCUAUCAGCUGUGGCAUGUGCUCCUGCUAAUGACCUACCCCUGCACGGGUCUGCAGUGGGCUCCCCUUAGAUGAUUUCCCCACCCACGGGUGCCUGAAGGUAUGUCCCAGCUCCCACUGGCUCCAUUGGGGCCAAUGGCUGACUAUAGUAAUCCUCCCUUAUUUGUGGGGUAUGCGUUCCAAGACCCCCAGUGAAUGCCUAAAGCCGUGGUGAGUACUGAACCCUAUACAUACUAUAUUAUUUCUAUAUGUACACACCUAUGAUAAGGUUUAAUUUGUAAAUUAGGCACAGUAGGAGAUUCACAAUAACUCAGAAUAAUCAUAAUAAUAUACUAUAAUAAAAGUUAUGUGAAUAUGGUCUCUCUCACUCAAAAUGUCUUCUUGUACUGUACUCACCCUUCUUCUUGUGACGAUGUGAGAUGAUAAAAUGCCUACCUGAUAAGAUGCAGUGAGGUAAAUGACGUAGGCAUUGUGACAUAGCGUUAGGCUUCUAUUAACCUUCUGAUCAUUUGUCAGAGGAUGACCAUCUGCCUCUAAACCAAGGUUGACCACAGGUACCUGAAAUCUUGGAAAGCGAAACCACAGAGAAGGAGGGACUGCACUGUAACGUUGGGACACAAAGUUCCUGCGUCCUUGUCACAAGUUAGGACAGACCAUGGUGCAAUUCCUGCUUGAUUUAUGCUACAGAGCUCCCCAGAGAAUCAGGCUGGGUGAACUUAGACCUCUCCCAUUCCCUCCCUGCUACCUUGCUCCCUGCAGGCUCUUGUGAACACUUCUGUAACAAACUAGCUUUACAAGAAUUGCCACCUCACGCUCUGCGGCUGGGGAGCCCAGCCUAAGUUAUAAACCUUCAGGUCAGGAACCCAGAAAAAGUCUUCCCCCAAAACUGAACCAAAAUAAAAACAUAAGCCAAUAAUAAAAUGAAAGUGUAAAUUGGUGGAAAGGCGGGGAAUUGUGAGCUUGAUAAAUUGAACCAAGAAUGUGAACUUUUGAGUACUUCUCAAAUGGACCUCUCUCUCUAUUGACCUUACAGAUCAUAGUGCUUUAUGUAAAAAAUAAGUAAUUUGGAACUCCAAAUAGUUGAUGUAUGCUCAUAAAAAGGCCUUGUCCCUACACCAAAAGUUGUAAAUGUAUUCCUGUGAGUAUAUUGUUAGAAUACAAUGUGUCUAAUCAAAUAUGA